rnacentral:misc_RNA from 1 species
GAAAUGCGAUAAGUAGUGUGAAUUGCAGAAUUCAGUGAAUCAUCGAAUCUUUGAACGCACAUUGCGCCCCUUGGUAUUCCAUGGGGCAUGCCUGUUCGAGCGUCAUUUGAACCCUCAAGCUCUGCUUGGUGUUGGGUGUUUGUCCCGUCUCCGCGCGUGGACUCGCCCCAAAGUGAUUGGCAGCCGGCGUACUGGUCCCGGAGCGCAGCACAUGUCGCGCAAACGAGUGCCUUGGUACGGCGGCGUCCAUAAGCCCCUCUCUCACGCUCUUGACCUCGGAUCAGGUAGGGAUACCCGCUGAACUUAAGC